CACGUAGGCCCCAAGCGUUGUCCGGAUUUAUUGGGCGUAAAGAGCUCGUAGGCGGUUCGGUAAGUCGGGUGUGAAAACUUUGGGCUUAACCCAAAGACUGCACUCGAUACUGCUGUGACUUGAGUCCGGUAGGGGAGUGGGGAAUUCCUGGUGUAGCGGUGGAAUGCGCAGAUAUCAGGAGGAACACCGGUGGCGAAGGCGCCACUAUGGGCCGGUACUGACGCUGAGGAGCGAAAGCGUGGGGAGCGAGCAGG
rnacentral:rRNA from 1 species